UACAGAGGUCCCAAGCGUUGUUCGGAUUCAUUGGGCGUAAAGGGUGCGUAGGCGGCGCGGUAAGUCGGGUGUGAAAUCUCGGAGCUUAACUCCGAAACUGCAUUCGAUACUGCCGUGCUUGAGGACUGGAGAGGAGACUGGAAUUUACGGUGUAGCGGUGAAAUGCGUAGAUAUCGUAAGGAAGACCAGUGGCGAAAGGCGGGGUCUCUGGACAGUUUCCUGACACUGAGGCACGAAGGCCAGGGGAGCAAACGGGG
rnacentral:rRNA from 1 species